CCUACGGGUGGCAGCAGUGAGGAAUAUUGGUCAAUGGUCGGAAGUCUGAACCAGCCAUGCCGCGUGCGGGAAGAAGGUUCAGUGAAUUGUAAACCGCUUUUGUACGGGGACAAACGCGGGUACGUGUCUCUGUCUGAGUGUACCUUACGAAACAGGAUCGGCUAACUCCGUGCCAGCAGCCGCGGUAAUACGGAGGAUUCGAGCGUUAUCCGGAUUUAUUGGGUUUAAGGGGUGCGCAGGGGGGGGUGAAAGUCAGCGGUCAAAGCGCGGGGCUCAACCCCGGCCCGCCGUUGAAACUGCAAGCCUGGAGUGGGAGAGAAGUAUGCGGAAUGCGCGGUGUAGCGGUGAAAUGCAUAGAUAUCACGCAGAACUCCGAUUGCGAAGGCAGCAUACCGGCGCGCAACUGACGCUCAUGCACGAAAGCGUGGGUAUCGAACAGGAUUAGAUACCCGGGUAGUC
rnacentral:rRNA from 1 species